CUUAUACUCCGGAAAUAGAAAACGUGAAGAUAUUGUCUUACUGGUCCAUGGCAGAUCACAGGUGGCAGCAGAUGGAUAUGAAAACUAAAAAAGGGAAGCAGAGCUGUUGAGUGUCUUUUAUUCAAUUCCUAGACUCAUGAUGCUUUGAUUUCCGCACUACCUCCAUCUUUUGGAUGACUUGUCACGUCCAAUCUUGCUAGGUAAGUUGUGACUCCUCAUCAAUUGUCCCUGGUUUACUUUCUUACUUAUUUGUUGUAGCUAAUCCCUCACUGUGCUCCUGUCCUUCUGUCUCGCGAAUUAGCUGUGCUACUGUGUCGUACAGUUAUUUGAUUGUCUCCGUCUGCCCUCCUCGGUAUUCCCCCCCCCUGUACCAGUUCCUCUGCAGAUGUGUCUUCCUUGUUUGUUUUGCUAACCGGUUCCUUUGGUCGUCAACAGCAGUAGGCGCUGUGGCUUAGUUGGUUAAAGUGCCUGUCUAGUAAACAGGAGAUCCUGGGUUCGAAUCCCAGCAGUGCCUUUUUGUUUUGGUGGUGCCGUAGUGCAGCUGCCUUACACGCUGGAGGUGCUGGGUUUGAAUCCCGGGAAGAACCACGUGCUUGGCGCCUCCAAGAGGCGGUCUUUCACAACAGAUCUGACCGUUUUUUAUGAAACAUCCCAGAAAAAUUUCUUUCAGAAAAUUCGGCGUACUUUUGCGGCUGGCCCGCGUACCAUGGCUUCCUUGAACUUUUGUCAUCUUUCCUUGGUUCCGGUCUGUCAUUCAAAGACUAUCACUCAACCGACCAUCUGACCGUUUAUGUGUAUACGUAUGUGUGUACAACUGUAGUACCUUUGUUCCGUGCUUCUCUGCCUCUUCCUUUGUAAAUUCAGUUAAAGCUAAUUGCUUCCAGCAGGCUUUUCUCUUGGCCCGUCACGUUGCUCUCUGUCAUGUGAUGACAGUGUGCGGGCUUCUUAUUGGGAUCCUGGACACUGCAGCCUGGCACACCACACUAGAAGAGUUUAACCCAAGCUACCAGGUCUAUUGCUACAGCAACCAUGACAUCCUGAGCGGUGUAGUGAGACGAGAAAGUUCACCAUUUACAGCUCGAGGAGAGAUUUACUAAAUGGCUGAAGAAGUUUUAAUUUCCUCUCCUGGGAAGAUUACUGCGGUGAGUAGGUGCCGUUGUUAGCUUACUGCAAACAGAGCCAGCAGCUACGAGAAUGCAAACUUGCGAAUUAUUAUUUGUCAUUGGCGGUUUCGUAUACUAUUGGUUGUUGUUUAAUGAAUUUGAUGGAAUUGACCGGUUGUGUGUUGUGUAAAAGUUGUAGGCGUUUAAUACAGUUCAACAUCUUAAAAUCUGUUGACUGUUGAUUUUUUUUUUUUUAAAUAAGGUCUUGACCGUAACGUGACACCAAACCAUGAAGAGUUAACUUUUUUGAGAUAAUUAAAGUAUAACACGAAACCAGAGCUGGCUAUGAUGGAAAACAUGUGAUACAAAUUGUUAAUUGUAAAUUGUUAAUGAAUAUUUUUGCUCCAACAAAGUGUGUAAUGUUGAGAGAAAAUUGUCUUAUUUGAUAUCACUUUAUUUUCAAAAAAUCUCACAUUUAAAGCCUUGUUUUUUUUUUCCUGUAAUGCUGUGCUGAUGUAAUAUGCAGAGUAAUCCUUGUGCUUUAGGUCAACAACAGAAAAAAACAAAACAGUUUGCUUAACGUUUGGAGUUCAAGAGUAAAGCAGACGAUGGCGUUGAGAGGAAACCUAAAGCUCAAAGUAAAAGGAAAUUAUAAAAUAAAAACAUUAUAUUAAAUAUAUGAAAUUAAUGUUAUUAAACAUCUAAAAUAAGUGAAGAUCUGGAACGUGAUUUUUUUUUUAAAUAUUCUGUUUCACACGUCAGACUGCAGUGCAACCUUGAGAAAUAAGAUUGAUUUUUAGUUGCACAACAUUUGUUCACGACCCCAUGAUAAAAAUGAAAAAAAUAACUGGAACACAUUUUGGUUUCGAUUUCUUGUCUUCUGUUAAUUUUUCAAAUUUUUUAGACAAUUCCAUUACGCUUUUUGCCCCCUCCAAACCGGUUUAGCCACUCUGUUUAUUCUGCUACGUUGUUACCUAUAAAUGUUCCCCAAGGAUCAUUCCUGGGGCCCCUGCAUUUCAUCCCAUUCUACCUCCCAUUGGCUUCUGCAUGUAUAACAUUUAUUUUCAUUGCUAUGCAGAUGACACCCAGCUCGCUUUCCAGCGAACCUGAAUUCUUACACACUUUGACAAAAGUCUCACCAAGCUUGAAUCCUAGUUUAUCUCCAAUUUCCUCAAAUUAAACAGUGAAAAAUGAAUGGCUCCUAUUCAAAAUCAAAAUCAACAUAUAUAUAUACAUACACUGUGUAUAUUUACACUAGGUGGGGAAGCUCAAACAAGUUGGGAACAACCUUAGCAGUGCUUUGUAGUGAUCCAAGAAAGCUCCAAGAUUGCUUACUUGUUUGUGAUAUGUCAUGGUAAGAUUAACUGUGAGGAAUUGCGAAGUGGUGCGACGACCCUAAUGCAACACUAAAAACACCACCUGAACACUACCUCGCUACCUCACGAGUCAAG